rnacentral:rRNA from 1 species
UACGAAGGGGGCUAGCGUUGCUCGGAAUCACUGGGCGUAAAGGGUGCGUAGGCGGGGCUUUAAGUCAGGGGUGAAAUCCUGGAGCUCAACUCCAGAACUGCCUUUGAUACUGAAGAUCUUGAGUUCGGGAGAGGUGAGUGGAACUGCGAGUGUAGAGGUGAAAUUCGUAGAUAUUCACAAGAACACCAGUGGCGAAGGCGGCUCACUGGCCCGAUACUGACGCUGAGGCACGAAAGCGUGGGGAGCAAACAGG